UAUAUACUCCCUCCGUCCUGAAUUUCUUGUCACUAAAAAGGGUAGAAAUUGGUGUAUCUAGAGCUAAAUAUACAUCUAGAUACAUCCAUUUCUGUAACAAGUUAUUCGGGACGGAGCGAGUAGUAA
rfam:Triticum aestivum genome assembly, contig: Triticum_aestivum_CS42_TGACv1_scaffold_289948_4AL